GACGAACGCUGGCGGCGUGCCUAAUACAUGCAAGUCGAACGCAGUGGGGACGGGUGAGUAACACGUGGGUAACCUCCCAUCAGAGGGGAUAACACUUGGAAAAAGGUGCUAAACCGAUGCUGAAGGAUGAACCCGCGGUGCAUUAGCCAGUUGGUGAGGUAACGGCUCACCAAGGCCACGAGGCAUAGCCGACCUGGGAGGAUGACCAGCCACACUGGAACUGAGACACGGUCCAGACUCCUACGGGAGGCAGCAGUGGGGAAUAUUGAACAAUGGGCGCAAGCCUGAUGCAGCCAUGCCGCGUGUGUGAAGAAGGCCUUAGGGUUGUAAAGCACUGUCAGCGGGGAGGCGUUACCCGCAGAAGAAGCACCGGCUAACUCCGUGCCAGCAGCCGCGGUAAUUC
rnacentral:rRNA from 1 species